rnacentral:lncRNA from 1 species
CAAACUGUUGGGAUUAAAGGCAUGAGCCACUGAAACCAGCUCCCAUUUAUAUGUUCAGCAAAUACUUUCUGAGCAUCUUUUCUUUGCAAAGCAUUACUGCGCGUUGAGAAUACAGCAGGGACCAAGAUGGACAUGCUCACUGCCCUCACAGAGAUUAGUUAAGUGAGGGCCACAGAGAAGAAAACAAGCAAUUCUAACAUAGGCAGGAUCCAUGCAGUGACUGAGAAAGCCAUAAGGAUCUGGGAAAAGGGGAGGGACAGGCUCCUGAUGUGGAAGAAGAGGUGGGAGAAGUUAGUGGGUGAAGACAAGCUGAGGUGAGUAAGGUGCAGGGAGCGAGGGGGAAGGGUUUCCCAGCUCAGGCUCACCCUAAGCAGAACAAGCAUAACACAUCAAAUGUCCAGCUCCCAGUUCCAUCCAGCUGGACGUAGAACUUAUCGUCAACAGAUGAAACUAGACAGUCAAGCAGCAGCCCAGAUAAGACAGCAGUCAGAUAAGACAGCAGUCAGAUAAGACGGGUCUUUUACACUUUACCAAGUGGCUCGAACUUUACCCUCAGGUCAUUGAGAAACAACAGGGAAGGGAGACUUUAUUUAUUUUUUUAACUUACUUUAUUUUUUAAUGUUUUGUUUUAAUUUGUGUAGGUACAUAAUAGGUGUACAUGUUUAUGGGUACAUGAGGUAUUUGAAUAUAGGUAUGCAAUGCAUAAAAAUCACAUCAUGGAAAAUGGGGCAUUCAUCUCCUCGAACGUUUAUCCUUUGUGUUACAAACAACCCAAUUAAUCUCUUUUACUUAUUUUCAAAUGUAUAAUUCUAUUAUUGUUGACUAUAGUCACCCUGUUGUGCUAUCAAAUACUAGGUCUUAUUCAUCCUUUCUAACUAUGUUUUUUGUAUCUAUUAACCAUCCCCACCUCUCACACACCCUCCCACUAUGGGAAGGAGGGUUAUUUAUUUAUUUAUUUUUGAGACAGAGGCUUGCUCUGUCACCCAGGCUGGAGUGCAGUGGCAUGAUCUCAGCUCACUGCAAACUCCACCUCCUGGGUUCAAGCAAUUCUCCUGUCUCAGCCUCCUAAGUAGCUGGGAUUAGAGGUGCCCACCACCACGCCUGGCUAAUUUUUAUAUUUUUAGUAGAGAUGGGGUUUCACCAUAUUGGCCAGGCUGGUCUUGAACUCCUGACCUCAAGUGACCCUCCUGCCUGGGCCUCCCAAAGUGCUGGGAUUACAAGCAUGAGUCACUGUGCCCAGCCAGGAAGGAGGAUUUUAAAUAGGCAUGUGACACAGCCCAGUUUGUAGUUUAGAAGGAUCCUCGUGGCUUUGGUGUGACAAGCAGAUGAGAGCUGGGCAAGACUAGAGAUUGAGAGCCAGGUGAGGAGAGUCUACUUAGCCAGGCAGGAGGCCCUGCCCUGGGAAGCUGCAUGAUGCUGGGGCCAUGGAGAAGCAGGAAGCCUAGAACCUACAGCAUCGUUGUUUUAAAUGGGGCAAUGCAGAGAUCCACAAGAGAUGCUGCAAAAGGCCUCCCUGGAGGGACAGAUAGGUUAGGAAUUAGGAGGGUGGAGGGUGAGAGUGUGAUAUGGUUUGCCUGUGUCCCCACUCAAAUAUCUGUUAUUUGAACUGUAGCUUGUUACUUGAAUUGUAGCUCCCACAAUUCCCACGUGUCAUGGGAGGGACCCAGUGGGAGGUAACUGAGUCAUGGGGGUGGGUCUUUCCUGUGCUAUUCUCAUGAUAGUGAAUAAGUCUCAUGAAAUCUGAUGGUUUUAUAAAGGGCAGUUCCCCUGCGCACACUCUCUUGCCUGUCGCCAUGUAAGACAUGUCUUUGCUCCUCCUUCGCCUUCCACCAUGAUUGUGAGGCUUCCCCAGGCAUGUGGAACUGUGAGUUCAUUAAACCUCUUUCCUUUAUAAAUUACCCCUGUGUCUUUAUCAGCAGUGUGAGAACAGACUAAUACAGGAUGGGACUUGGUGCUAAGCAGGACAGCACUAUUAGCUCCCUGGCAUGCCUGUAACCUGAAGGGCUUGACUUUCAUCUAUCUUACGUAAAAUUUGGUUGGAAUAAAAGAUUCAACUACUAAAAAUGCUGUAGGACAGAAUGAAUAAAAGGCUACAUUGGGAGACUCUUAAGGGUCCUUCCACCUUGCUCCUGGAUUCUGUGAAUCGGAAUCUCUGUGACAGAGUCGGCCUGGGCUCCCAGAACCUGCGCAGGGGGCAGCUGGGACCUUCAGAGCAAUCAAGAAGCCCAAGUAAAUGAAAGAGGCCCUGAAAAAUGCUGUCAGGGCUCCAUGUAAAUGAUGAUUUAAAAUUUCACAGGAAAGAGAAAGGACACUUCAAGCAAUUUCUUAACAGGCAAAGCCUCCCAAGGCAAUAUUACUCGCUAACAGCCCAGCAUCUGGUGAUGAUGUGAAAAUGCCUGUAUUAGAAAACUGGAAAAUGGGACCACUGGAGUUUCCAAGAAGUGGUUGCAUAAGCUCAAGGAUUUCUUCGGAGCUGUUCUGACUAAAGAUGAAAUUGGGAAGAGGCACACGAGGAAGAAAAUCACUCACUGCUUGAGGCUGCCAGAAAGAAGACUCUCAUUGUCUGAAGGAAAAAAAAACAACAUGCCAGGCUUACUGACAGAAGCUUUUACAGGAAACAAAACCCACGACAACUUCUCUCGUCAAGGGCUCUUCAGACUGUUUCUAAACACUCACAGGAAGGCCAGGCUGACAUUUUACACAUGAUUGACUGAGAGCGCUAUGCUUGCUUCUGGAUAUGUGCGUGCUUGUAUACGUGUGCAACUGUGUGUGUGCACGCAUAUGCCUGCAUGCAAGCCUACGGGUGCUUACCUGGUCCUGUAGCUCAGCCUAAACAAAGAUUCAGACUUGCUUAUGCAUAAAUAAUGAGUUGGCGGGGCCAGAAGCUGCCUAGGGUCUAUUUAUAUAGAUUGAUUUGCAUGUGCCAAGGGGAAUUGGGAAGAUACAGUGGAGAAGACAGCCUGGUGAUUGGUUCAGGGGCCAGGAUAGCAGCUGAACCCAUGCAAUCCUCCCUGAGACUUUAGUGAGUCUGCAAGGAAUGAGCCCUCUCUGUUUGCAAGACCUCCAAGGCCAGCAGGAUAAAAGCUUGGCAACCGUGAAGUGAGAGUCAUCCUUAGAAUGAAGCCAGCACAGAGGAGAGCAGAAGAAGGAUGGAGAGAGAGACUAGUCCUAAUGUCCUUGUGUGGUGGCUUGGCUAGCACCUGCUGUGCCUAUCUUCCCACUGGGAGCCUUAGUCUCAUGCCCAGUUGAUCCCUCCCCUGGUGUCAACUAAGCUUGAGUUGGAUUAUCUGCUACUUGCUGAUGCUCCACUCACAGUCUCCCUGCAUUAUCCCAGCACCUGAGACAUUUCUGAUUAGAUUGGCAUCCAUGGGGGUGUGAAAGUCACAUUCUCAGAGAAAGAAAGUGAUGAACCACCUGUACUGCAGAACCCACCAGUAACAACCCCACCCUACACCCUAGUCCAGGUUCCUCAGCUGUCUGUCAAAUCCAGGAGCCAGGACACCAGGUGGAGUCCUGCAACCUUUUGCAAUCUCUGUGUCAGAGGUAUUAGAACAAGAAUGACUCCAUCUUGAAAACAGGCUGGGUAGAAUGAGGCUUAGACUUACUGGGCUGCAUUCCCAAGAGGUUAAGGCAUUCCUAGUCACAGAAUGAGAUAGACGGUUGGCACAAGAUACAGAUCAUAAAGACCUUACUGAUAAAACAGGUUGCAGUUAAGAAGCCGGCCAAAACCCAUCAAAACCAAGAUGGUGACAAGAGUGACCUCUGGUCAUCCUCACAGCUCAUUAUAAGCUAGUUACAAUAUAUUAGCAUGCUAAAAGACACUCCCACCAGUGCUGUGACAGUUUACAGAUGCCAUGGCAACAUCAGGAAAUUACCCUAUAUGGUCUAAAAAGGCUAAGAACCCUCAGUUCUGGGAGUUGUCCACUCCUUACUGUGAAAACUCAUGAAGAAUCAACCUCUUGUUUAGCAUAUAAUCAAGAAAUAACCAUAAAAAUGGGCAACCAGAAGCUCUUGAGAAUGCUCUGCCUAGGGAGUAGCCAUUCUUUUAUUCCUUUACUGUCUUAAUAAACUUGCUUUCACUGUAUG